AAAAAUUGUAAAAUUAAUUCAAAGUAAACAUAAAAACAAACACUACUUAUCAAUUUAGGAUAAUAUAGCAGUCUUAUUUUUUUCAAAGGAUAUCUUUCUGUGAAAUCGUUGUGACUUUAGCAAUGGGUGUUCAGUGGAUUUUGUUGAUUCUGAUUUUUGGCAUAGUUAAUACUAACGCAGUAACCACACUUCCUCCUACUACUACUACUGUGGCCACUACAACUGCAGACCUAAGCCAGAACUUCAAUAGCAAAGCCACAGUUCCUACCAGCGACCUCUACCUUCACGUCUUGAUAGUUUGUGGAAUGUCUGUUAUGAAACUUAUUUGAAGGCCGU